rnacentral:rRNA from 1 species
AAAAGUGAAAUUAGAUUAUUUUUUAUAGAAAAUAAACUCUAGUCGAAACAAAAAAAUUUUAGAGAUAAACUAGGAUUAGAUACCCUAUUAUACUAAAAAGAAGCUUGUAGGCCAAACUAUUAAUAGAUAUGUUCUUUAAAUUUGAAGAAUUUGGCGGUGAUUUAGUCUUGUCAGAGGAACCUGUUUUUGAAUCGAUAAACCACGUAAAAUCUUGCUUGAGUUUGUAUACCGUCAUUAUCAGAUAAUUUUUAUAGAAUAAAUUGUUAAGUAAGUCUAAAACUAAAAAAUUAGAUCAAGGUGCAGCUUAUAGUCAAGCUAAAAUGGGUUACAAUAAACUUUAAUUUAUUAUGGAUAGAGUGCUCUGGAAAGAGGAUUUGAUUGUAAAAGAAAUUAGUAUGUUCUUUAGAUAUAAGCCCUAAAUCAUGUACAUAUCGCCCGUCGCUUUC